AAAGAGCAUUUUUCACACAGCAUAGGAAGGGAGCCAGCAGGGACUCAGACCCAUCCCAGAACCCCCAGCCUUCUGGCAAACUCCAGGGAGAUGGGAAGCUUGAGGCGGGGGAGCCGCACCACGCGUGGGCCGUGGCGUGGGGACAGCCAGGCAGUGGGAACGGCUCUGGACUCUCACAUCGGGGAUGUGGUAGAGGCCUCAGGUGGGCGUGGACAGGACAGGCAUCGGCCUCAAGUACUCCGUGGACCUAGCUGGCCCUGCCCCCGGCAUUCCUUCACACACAUUCUUUUCUGCCAGCGUCCCAGCCCGCAUCAAAGGAUCCCAGCAUGCUUCCCAAGGCCUGGAAUUCCUUUGCUGGGAAUGGGAGACAAAGCCGUACAUUCUAUCAUCAGAAAGGAAAGGCCCAAAAUGCAAACACAAGGCCAGAGAGGCUGUUGCAGGCAGGAGUUUCUGAGUAGAGAGUGUCAGAUCCCCUCCUACUGAGUGUCACCCUCCCUUCUGAGACAGCAUGGGAGCCGUCAGCCUACGAACUGCAGAGAACUCUAGGAAGGAGCCCUUUUCUUCCUGCAAUGAGGACAACCAGAAGCUGUGGCCACGGCACCUGCGGUCCCCGGAGCCUGGGCACUGACGUGAGGGAGGAAGGCGGCACCUCCCUUUCCCCCUGCCCUGGCCACAGGAACCUUAGGAUUGAGAGCUCAUCUGCAGCUCUCAGGUGUGGUCAAGAAGUAGUGGACUGAACUAAGCAGCAUAGUGGUCAGCAUCACCUGGGACUCCGCCUAGAAUGCUGGAAAUGGGCAUUCUUGCCCCCCACGCCCACAAGACUUACUGAGUUAGAAACUUGGGGUAAGGGCUGGCAAUCGGUGUGCCCAACCCUCCUGGUGGGUGGUUCCGAUAUCUGUUCAGGCUUGAGAACCUUUGUGCUCAGGACCUCCGGUUACCAAAUCACGCCACUUACGGUGACCAUUCUCAAAUGAUGACAGAAGGAAGAAGGAUGAGGAAGACUUGAGCCUGGCCGGGCAAUCCUUGGUUUCCUCACGAACCCUUGAGAUCGGGUUAGAUUUUGAACACCACUGGGACGUGCUAAGAGCUUCUUUGGAGCAGAGCAGUGCUCACAUCAAUAGUCCAGCAGACUGAGCACGGAGAUGUCAGCAGACACACUUGAAAGUUUGGUCUGAAAACCAGAGGGACCGUGCCCACAAUCCCCGCUGUUUCCCCGAGCAGCAUGGCUGUGGCGAGUUUGUUGUUCAACCCCGGAUGGCUCAGCAAAUCCAACGCCCUCUGCCUUGUACUAUCGCCGCAUGGAUCUGCAGAGGCAGCCGUUCCUGCCCGGUGGCUUCGCCUUCUGCGAAGGACAACACAGAACCACUCUUUGAAUUAUUUGACAUUGACAUCAAUCAUAAUUGGCUGACUCUGGUUGGUAGUGAGAGAACAAAUGUUUCCAGGGAUUAUUAAACAACCACAAAAAUCUGAGAGCGCGGUUAUAUGAACGUGGACCAGAAACAAGACAGUAACGAGUUCCAAUGUUCUUUUUUUUUUUUCUACACAGGAUUCAAACGAACUCAGAGCAGCGAGAUCAGAAUACAUCAGUCUGACCUGUUUUUACUCACAACACUUCUGACACCAAGUGCGUGGGUUUUUUUUCACACCGACAACCAGUUCCCCAACUCUCCAGACACCAACUGGGUGGCCUACGAUUCCAUUCAAAUGUGACACUAACUCCACAGGCUCUGAGGCUCGGUCCCUCAGGACUGCCCUGAGUUCAGACACCAGCCUCCUGGCUCCAGCCCAGAGUACCUAUAUUUCUGUCCAACUUGGCUACAAAGUAGGGGGUUUCCUACACUCCCCCCCUCCAUCCCCCCAGUUUCACAUUCAGUAACUUGCUAGAACAGCUCACAGAACUCAGGAAGGCACUUUACUGGUACUGGUUCAUUAUUAAUAUAAAGCACUGGACUCAGAACGGUCAGAUGGAAAAGAUGCUUAGCAUGAGGUGAGGGGAGUGAGGGCCAAGGGGCUCCCCCAUCUUCUCCAGCCUGCCAUCCUCCCAACACACCUCCAUGUGUUCACCAACUCAG